CAAUGCCACUUGUAAGCUGCUAAGGCUUGGGGCUUGCACCCUCUGAAGCAAUGGCCUGAGCUGUACAUUGGCUGCUUUUAGUCAUGGCUGAAGCUGAAGUAGCUGGGAUGCAAGGCACCAUGUCCCAAGGCUGCAUAGAGCAGGGGGAAACCAGUUUUCCCUUUUACACCUCCUGGCCUGUGAUAGGAGGGGCUACUAUGAAGGCUCAUAAAUGGAAGAAACUUACUUUGCACCUCAAAUAAGACUUUGGACUUUAAGUUAAUGCUGGAAUGAUUUAAGACAUUUGGAGACUGUUGGGAAGGCAUGAUUGCAUUUUGCUUUGUAAGAAAGAUGUGAGAUUUCGAGGGCCAAGGAUGGAAUGAUGUAGUUUGGAUGUUUGUCCCCUAUAAAUCUCAUGUUGAAAUGUAAUCUCCAGUUUUGUAUGUUGGGCCUGGUAGGAAGUGUUUGGAUCAUUGGGGCAGAUCCCUCAUGAAUGGCUUGGUGCCCUCCUUGUUAAAGUGAGUACAUUCUUGCACUGAAUUAACAUGAGAUCUGGUUAUAUAAAGGAGUGUGUCACUUCCUCUCCCACUUCUCUCACUCCUGCUCUCACUACGUGAUGUGCCUGCUCCCCUUCAUCUUCUGCCAUAAUUGUAAGCUUCCUGUACCCUCACAAGGAACAGAUGCUGGUGCCAUACUUCCUGUGCAGCCUGCAGAACUCUUCAGUUUCAAGAGAUUGAGCAGAGUUUCUCGAUACUAAUUACUCUUAAAAUCAACGAUUUGGUAAGUACAAAAAGGAUUUCAGGUCCAUUUUUUUUUCUUUUUUCAUCAUUGAAUGUAAUAUCAUUGGAAACACAGAAAACUGUAAUCUAUUAACUAUAAUAUCUGCCUUUUGGGAAUCCUAGGUAUUAUUUCAUAUUAUAGACUUUUUUCUCCUUUUAAUCACAAUGUCCUACCAUCCUAUGGAAUAAAUCCUAUUGUCUCUCAACCAAAUGUCUCCUUGGUACAUUUUAAGAUAUUUUCCCAAUGUGAUUGUUGUCAGGCCUCUUAGCUGAAGCUCAGCCAUUGUAACCCUUGUGACCUGAACAUAUACGACCAGAUGGCCUGCAGGAGCCAAGAAGUCUGGGGCAACCUAAAACUACAAAAGAAGUGAAGCAGCCAGCUCCUGUCUUAACUGAUUGACCAACCUUACGACAUUCCAUUAUGACUGGUUCCUGUCCUGCCCCAACUGAUAGAUCGACCUUCUGACAUUCUUCUUCUGAACAAUGAGUCUUAUGAUCUCCCCACCAUGCACCUUGUGACCCCCUCCUCUGCUAACCACAGAUAACCACCUUUAACUGUAACUUUCCACUGCUUCCCCCAGUCCUAUAAAACUCCCCCACCCCUAUCUCCCUUUGCUGACUCUCUUUUCAGACUCAGCCCACUUGCACCCAAGUGAAAUUAACAGCCUUGUUGCUCACACAAAGCCUGUUGGUGGACUCUCUUCAACGGAUGCGCUUGACAACUGUCUUCUCAAAAAGCCGCUCUGUUGGAGUCAUUAUACAUAUCAUCCUAUUACUACUAGGCUUAUUUUCUUGUCAAUGCCUAUGUGGUAAACAUAUCUACUACGUUACUAUAAAGUUUUCAUCAUAUUAUUUAGUUUGCCAAUAGGUUAUUUAACGUAUUUUUACAUUAUGAAUGACACUUCAAUGAAUCAUGAUAAUAUUAAAGUACCAGCUACUAAUAUUUUGUAAUCAGCCCAAAAUGUAAUAAUAACCUGGUUAUAAUUAUCCAUACAUAUUAUAAUAUCUAAUAGCAAAAACGCUUCCAAGUAGUUCUAACAAGGAAGGUAUCUCUUCUAUGAAUCAAUUUUACAAAGAUUUUUAAGAGGUAAUAACCCCAAAUUUUAACAAUUUUAGCAGCUUUGUUUUGGUGCCAAUUCGAGUUGAAAAUGGCACAAACCAUUUUCCAACCUGAGUCAUCCUUUAUACUACUGGCUUUAAAAUUCAAAUAUAAAACAAGUCAUUAGCCUUAUAACGAACUUUUUAAAUGUUAAUUUUUCUUAAUUGAUUUCUCUAGACAUUUUUCUUUGAGAUAGAAAUCAAAUUAUUUUACUGUUUUGGUAGCUCAAUUUCAGUCAUCAUUACUAAGAUUAGUAAUUUUAUAUUUAUCUCUCAAA
rnacentral:lncRNA from 10 species